rnacentral:rRNA from 1 species
AGUGCACGCUGGCGGUAGGCCUAACACAUGCAAGUCGCACGGCAGCACAGAGGAGCUUGCUCCUUGGGUGGCGAGUGGCGGACGGGUGAGGAAUACAUCGGAAUCUACUCUGUCGUGAGGGAUAACGUAGGGAAACUUACGCUAAUACCGCAUACGACCUACGGGUGAAAGCAGCGGAUCUUCGGACCUUGCGCGAUUGAAUGAGCCGAUGUCGGAUUAGCUAGUUGGCGGGGUAAAGGCCCACCAAGGGGACGAUCCGUAGCUGGUCGGCGAGGAUGAUCAGCAACACUGGAAAUGAGACACGGUCCAGACUCCUACGGGAGGCAGCAGUGGGGAAUAUUGGACAAUGGGCGCAAGCCUGAUCCAGCCAUACCGCGUGGGUGAAGAAGGCCUUCGGGUUGUAAAGCCCUUUUGUUGGGAAAGAAAUCCAUCUGGUUAAUACCCGGGUGGGAUGACGGUACCCAAAGAAUAAGCACCGGCUAACUUCGUGCCAGCAGCCGCCGUAA